rnacentral:lncRNA from 1 species
CGCUCGCCGCCUCAGGCCCCGCCCAUCCCCCCAGCUCCUCGUCCCGGCCCCGCCCACCUGAGAAGCCCAGGUCCAGCAACACAGCGCGCCGGCGGUCGCGGACGCUGCUGAUCUGCUGGAAGCGCACAUCGAGGAACAGGAAGGCGGCGCAGGCGAGGAAGGCUCCGAGGCCCAGCGCGACGCCGAAGCGGCAGGCGCCUGCAUUCCCGUUGAACACGCAGCGCAGCUCGGGGCCGCUGUCGGUGUUCACGUAGCCCUCGUUGACGAUGGGCCCGAAGACGGCGAUGGAGAACACCUGCGUGCGGCGCGGCGCUCAGGGCCCUGCAGCAACCCGACCUCUGCGAGCCCACUGCGAGCGCCCACGGCCCCGGGCCUGUCCCUGCGUUCCCGGGCCCGUAUCUGGGUGGGGGGCGGUGUCAUCUCUUCCUUUCCCAAACCCUCGCGUAUUUUGUAAUUAUUGACAACACGGGCCGUUUAGUGAGCAUCUACUAUGCCCAGGCACUGUGUUAAACAGCCACUUUACAUGCCUUCCCUCACCAAAUCCUGGGAAAGUCCCCGUGGGAUCGCCAUUGUUCUUAUCCUCUUUAUAAAAGGGGACACGGGCUCCAACAGGUGAAGUGACUUGUCCGGGAUCACAUGGCUGACAAAAGCUGGGGCUGAUUCAAGCCAGGUACUCUGCACCGCGUGGGCCCGUGGAGUCCCCUCAGAGCCCACUCAAAAGUGUGGGAACAGGAACCUUCACCUGGGCCCGCGAUUCCCAGGCUGCAGCCGGCAGGGCGAAGGGGAGCAUGCAAAUAGGGUGACGGGCACAGCUCAUGGAAUGCUGGGACAGAGACGUCCACCCAGCUUCCUGCACGCGCUCCGAGAGACCAAGCCGAGGGGGAAGCCGGGACAUGCACUUGUCCCCCAAGAGUGGGCCACAAGUCGGUACAUGCGCUCGGACCAAAACGCAGCGUCCUGCCUCCCGGUGUGGUCAGAGCCACUCCGCAGGGGAGGCCAAAGCCCCCUGCCCCACCAUGGGCACCGCCCUCCUCCAAGACAGGCGCCAAGGUGCGGCUGGCCCAGAGGUUGCCACCUGGACAAAACCCAGAGCUCGGCACCCAACUGCCACUUCCCCUGCCGGAGGGAAGGAGCAGCAGGGCCCUCCCAGGGACGCCCCAGUGGGCUAGGCUGCCCCCAAACCUGCCUCCCACACCACCUCCAGGAAGCCCUCCCAGCCCAGCCUCUCCUCCCUCAACUCACAGCUGGACCUGGGGGCCAGGGGCCAGGCUCCCUGCCAAGGAGCCCCGAGGGUGUGUGUGCGGGGGAAGGGGAGGCGCUGCCCGGUCUCUCUCGAUUCCCGUAGCCCCCUUCCUCUGCCCCUAGGCGAAUCCCGUCCCCACCCGGUCCCUGCUUCCAGGUCACGAGAACAGGAAAAACGGAGUAAGGGCUGCGGAAAGGGACUGGAAUUAGACCCGGGGAGGAGAUAGGAGUAGGGGCGACCGGCGGUGACCUCUCAAGGUCUCUCCGGCGCCGCCGGCCCCUCCCCCGCCCGCAGGUGGGCGCGCCCUGUCCGGUGACGUCACCCCAACCUGAGGCCGGCGGGGGAGGGGCCGGCGAGGAUGAGAGUGAGUGGGUUGCGGGGCGAGAAGCAGGGGGCAGGGGGAAGGUGGCAGGGGUGGGUAGGGGCCUGAAGGUCGUGAAGCAGGGGCGGGAGCGGGAGCCCGGGCAGGGACCACUCACCCAGGACGCGACCCGGAGCAGGGUCUGGGGCCGCCGUGCAAAGCUCACAGGGUCCAGGGCGG